GGGACAGUGUGAUAUAACGUGGGAGUGGGGUGUGAGGGUACAGGGACAGUGUGAUAUAACGUGGGAGUGGGGUGUGAGGGUACAGGGACAGUGUGAUAUAACGUGGGAGUGGGGUGUGAGGGGGACAGUGACAGUGUGAUAUAACGUGGGAGCGGGGUGUGAGGGGGACAG